AGUGAACGCUGGCGGUAGGCCUAACACAUGCAAGUCGAACGGCAGCACAGUAAGAGCUUGCUCUUACGGGUGGCGAGUGGCGGACGGGUGAGGAAUACAUCGGAAUCUACUUUUUCGUGGGGGAUAACGUAGGGAAACUUACGCUAAUACCGCAUACGACCUAGGGUUGAAAGCAGGGGAUCUUCGGACCUUGCGCGAUUGAAUGAGCCGAUGUCGGAUUAGCUAGUUGGCGGGGUAAAGGCCCACCAAGGCGACGAUCCGUAGCUGGUCUGAGAGGAUGAUCAGCGACACUGGAACUGAGACACGGUCCAGACUCCUACGGGAGGCAGCAGUGGGGAAUAUUGGACAAUGGGCGCAAGCCUGAUCCAGCCAUACCGCGUGGGUGAAGAAGGCCUUCGGGUUGUAAAGCCCUUUUGUUGGGAAAGAAAAGCAGCAGGUUAAUACCCCGCUGUUCUGACGGUACCCAAAGAAUAAGCACCGGCUAACUUCGUG
rnacentral:rRNA from 1 species